GAUGAACGCUAGCUACAGGCUUAACACAUGCAAGUCGAGGGGCAGCACAGUGUAGCAAUACAGUGGGUGGCGACCGGCGCGACGGGUGCGUAACGCGUAUCCAACCUUCCCGUUACUCUUGGAUAGCCUUCCGAAAGGGAGAUUAAUACAAGAUGGUGUUGAAAUUCCGCAUUGGUACAGCGACCAAAGAAUUUCGGUAUGGGAUGGGGAUGCGUUCCAUUAGCUUGUUGGCGGGUAACGGCCCACCAAGGCGACGAUGGAUAGGGGUUCUGAGAGGAAGGUCCCCCACACUGGAACUGAGACACGGUCCAGACUCCUACGGGAGGCAGCAGUGAGGAAUAUUGGUCAAUGGGCGCGAGCCUGAACCAGCCAAGUAGCGUGAAGGAAGACUGCCCUACGGGUUGUAAACUUCUUUAUACGGGAAUAAAGUGCCUUACGUGUAGGGUUUGUAUGUACCGUAUGAAUAAGCAUCGGCUAAUUCCGUG
rnacentral:rRNA from 1 species